CGUUCGACCCACCCUCCUCACCUCCGUUCGUCCCUCCCCACCUGCAAGCCCACCUCGAAACCCUAGCUGGCUAGCUGCACCGGCCGUUGGAGAUGGUAGCGGCGUUCUGGUCGGCGGCGAGGAGAGACUCCUUCUUCGAGGCCGCAGAGGGCUCCGCCACGCGUGACCAGAUGCCCGAUGCUGCGGGCGGCGGAGGCAGCCCCCGUCGGUUGAGGAGCCUGAGCAGUUUCCCGCCGUCUUCGCUCUUCUAGUGCUCCGAGAGGACUCGCCGCCCUUGCCGCCUCUGCUGCCGUCGGAGGGGAGGUAGGUGGUGGUUAUUUUCCCCAUGACAAGCGCCGCGACGACAACGAGGGCGGUGGCCACCGCUGCGCCCUUCUUGCUCCCCUUCGCUCUUGGCAGAAGCGCGCUUUAGGGCCUCCUCCACAUGUUCCGCGCUUCAGGGGCAACUAUGGAGAAGGAGAGUUGGAUGAAUUGGAGGCACUCCGCCUCAGCGGAGGCAAGACGGCCAGCAAUCUGAGGCGAAGAAAUCAUGGCGGCAACUGCUUCAGUUCAACACCUUGCUGGAGCAACAGCCAGAGAUGGUCCUCACACCCAAGGCAACAAUGUGCAUCCAAGGAGAUGGGGAGAAGCCGCCUCAUGUGCCUCUGUACGCCAUAGCCGGAGCAGCUGUCAAACAUUCCAUCCGGCGGUGCUGGAUCGGACGAGGAGCAGCGGCAAGACCUUCGCAUCCGCAAAUGGUGGAUCAGACGCUGAUGGAUUAUCCCAGCGCCGUGCUACAUUCUAAUCAGAUCUGUGAGAAUUGACCGAUCACGUCUCCCAGCUGCCGCAAUCUACGGUAAGCGGUUAAUGAUUUUAGGAGUCAAACUGACUGCUAGCCUGCUCGAUUGAAGAGGUGCGCCUGAUGUAUGUGCAAUUCUGUUGGUAGGCAAACUAACAGCUAGCCUAUAGUUCGAUUGAAUAGGCGUGCGUCAUGAAUGUGUGCCAUAGAUUUAGAUAAUCAACCUCACAGUACGCCUUUCAGUAUGCAUUAAGUGCUCCCUGACACAAACACUCUUUCUGUCCUGUAAACAAUGUCACAAUUUUGUUUAGAGUUGAAUGUAUUUAUACACUAAAUCACACCUACGUAUACCCAAAUUUAGACAAAAAACUAGGAAGUACAAGUUAUUUGGUAGAUUUUGAUAUAUAUGUAACUUAAUCUUAUUUGUAGUACAUCUCAAAAGAGAUAAUUAUUUGUGCAAUAUUAUGACAUGAUAUUCAACUAUGCUUUGCUAUUGUACUUGCAGCACUCGAAUUGUUACAUUUUUUUCUUCAGUUUGGAAAAAAACUAAUGUUUACUUGAGCAAAAUAGCACGUGUACAACAGUAAGUUUGGGACAUGGAAGCAAGAAGAGAAGUGGAGGAGCUCAAGAAUUUGCAAUUUAACCCCAAUUUCAUCGGACAAGUGCUAGCAAGAAGGAGGCGCGCCAUGCAUGGCAAGGCGACAAAAGUUUCGGUGUUGGCGAUGCAUGGCAUGGAGUAGUCCCAUGGAGUAUGACAUGCUCAACGCCCCCCUUACUGAUCAGCAAGAACGAUUUCUAUGUGAUUAUUACACUGGACAAUUUUUUCCAUGUGAUCUUGACGCUGAACCUUGGGUGCAUCGAUUGUGAACUGAUGACGAUCCAAUGUAUUUGCAACUCAUAAUCAUGAGAACUCAUUUCUGGCCAUCUAGAGGAGAACAUCAUGAGAACUCUUUUCUGGCCAUCUAGAGGAUAGCUGGAUAUCUUUUUCUGAAGACCUGGACUCACUGAAAAAUCUGGUAGUGGACAUGAGCGAGGUUUGCUGCAAAUACUUGGUGUAAUAUAUUCCAAGUAAAAUCUAAAGUUGUAUGUGUAACCUUGA